CAAGUACUCCCUCCGUCCGGAAUUACUUGUCAUCAAAAUGGAUGUGUCUAGAACUAAAAUACAUCCAAAUACAUCCAUUUCAAUGACAAGUAUUUUCGGACGGAGGGAGUACAAG
rnacentral:pre_miRNA from 1 species